GACGAACGCUGGCGGCGUGCCUAAUACAUGCAAGUCGACCUUAGUGGGGACGGGUGAGUAACACGUGGGUAACCUUCUAUAAGACUGGGCUAACUUCGGGAAACCGGAGCUAAACCGGCUACUUAUAGAUGGAUCCGCGAUGCAUUAGCUAGUUGGUAAGGUAACGGCUUACCAAGGCAACGAUGCAUAGCCGUCCUGAUAGGUUGUUCGGCCACACUGGAACUGAGACACGGUCCAGACUCCUACGGGAGGCAGCCGUAGGGAAUCUUCCACAAUGGGCGAAAGCCUGACGAAGCAAUGCCGCGUGAGUGAUGAAGGUCUUCGGGUCGUAAAACACUGUUAUUAGGGAAGCGGUACUUAAUCAGAAAUCCACGGCUAACUACGUGCCAGCCGCCGCGGUAAUUC
rnacentral:rRNA from 1 species